UAAGAGCACUCGCAUUCGGCUCCACAUCCCUUCCGUAUCCUCAUAUUUUGGAAAUAUUUUUAGGGUUUGAUCUAAAACCUUCCUCCAUCUGGUUCCCCAAAAUGGGGAUAAAAUUUACAGUUGCUACACCUACUGUACAUCCCCAAAUGUGAUUUCGGUUCUCUCUCUCAUUCGACAUCCCGCGUCUUCUUCCUUGCAACGGUUGGCUGCUCUUUAUUUUCAGUCCCUUCGGUCCUGAAUCUCCAAGCUCAUCGUUUCCAGUUUGAGCAUUGUUGGCACCUAUUGAAGGAUCAACUUAAGUGGAUUUAGCACACCACAAAGGAUGUUCCGCCGCGAAGGAAGACGAUAUCCCCAUCCCCGACCUCAACCUCAACUCUAUGUUCCGCCGCUACAGAGGAUUCGGUUUUUUAUCUCGAUACGGAGAAUGUGAUAGAAAAUGAAAUUAUCGAAUUGGACUAACCAAUGGGCAGGAAAGCUGAAAAAGGGAAACGAAAGGCCCAAGGCAAGCAAGCAGAGAAAAAUUUACAACUUAGAAAGAUGAAGUAUACUCUUUUAGAGGAGUCGCGUGCUCAGAAGAAAGUUUUAUCGCCUUAAGGCGGAAAAGAUGGAGUAUGAUAAGGACAAAGAGGAAAAAAAAUUACGUCUUAAAGAUAAAAGACCGAGGUUGGAGGCAGAGAAGAUGAGGAUUGAAGCUGAAAAAGAGCAAAGUAAAAUCCGUCAAGAGGACGAAAGACUGAGAUUGGAAGCUGAGAAAGUGGAGCUUGCGAAGAAGGAAUCAGAUCACCGCAUUAUGAUGAUGGAUGUGAGUGUCAUGCCAGAAAUGCAGCGGCUAUAUUUCUAGCAACUCCAGAGAGAAAUCAUGAUGAGAUGCAGUAAUGCCCGAAAUUUGGAUUGAUUGUAAUGUAAUUUUUUUAUUGUACUUUUGAUGAUAGUUUCCUGUUA